rnacentral:tmRNA from 1 species
GGGGCUGACUUGGAUUUCGACAGAUUUCUUGUCGCACAGAUAGCAUGCCAAGCACUACUUGUAAAACAGCAACAAAAAUAACUGUAAACAACGCAGAUUACGCUCCAGCUUACGCUAAAGCUGCGUGAGUUAAUCUCCUUUUGGAGCUGGACUGAUUAGAAUUUCUAGCGUUUUAAUCACUCCAUAACCUUAAGCUAGACGCUUUUAAAAGGUGGUUCGCCUUUUAAACUAAGAAACAAGAACUCUUGAAACUACCUCAAGGUUUUAGAAAGUUGGACCAGAGCUAGUUUUAAGGCUAAAAAACCAACCAAUUUUCUAAGCAUUGUAGAAGUUUGUGUUUAGGACAAGAUUUUUGGACUGGGGUUCGAUUCCCCACAGCUCCACCA